AAGGCUUCAGUACGACCCAGUCAGAACUAUAAGUCUCAAAGCCCCGACGAGUAGGGUGGCGUGCCGGUGCGCGUUGAAGGCCAAGACGUGAGUCAGGCUGGAGCCGCCGGUAGUGCAGAUCUUGGUGGUAGUAGCAAGUACUCUGGUGAACCAACCUGGAGCUGUGAGGUCUGGAUCAGGGUUCCAUGUCAACAGUGAUUGAACAUGGGUGAGUCGAUCCUAAGCCAACUGUGAAAGCAGUGACAUCCCGACAAAGGGGCAUUACGUGCGCUGCACUUACACCCCCACGGCAAAGCUCUGAGAUAUAUAUAUAUCUCUCUCUCUCUGACGAUAAAGGUGUCUGGUACGGAAUAUGCGCACGCACGGUGAUCACUACAAAUACGUGUGUGAGUGUGUGCGCUUGUAUGGUUACGCUCAUAAGCGUUGUUGCUCUCUGGUAAAAGGAUAAAGCAUAAGAGAGAGAGAGAGAGACACACACAGAGUGUGGGUGAGCGUGAGUUUGCUCUCGCAUGAGCCCCCUGCGUCUGGUUCUAUGUCUGGCGAAAGGGAAUGGGGACUUUGUUCCUUGACCGGUCCCGGCACCCUCGAUUGGCUGUGCCAAUUAAUGGUCCAUGCAAAUGGAACCAGGCCACAGCCGCUGGCAGUCGCCCGAGGAAGAGUUUUCUUUUCUGCUUAACGCACGAGGUCAUCCCUGGAAACAGUUCGGCUGGCGAAAGGGUGCCCCGUUGCGGCAGAGCGCCACGACUGUCGUGCGCGUCUCGGUGUUCCUGCCGGUCCGUGAAGACGUGGUCGAGGGGAUUGCUCUUGUAUCAACGAAACGCCCGACAAGUUCGGGACGGACCGUACCCUAUAUCCGCAUCUGGUCUCCAAGGUUCGUAGCCUCUGCAGAGUCAGACACAUGUAGGUAAGGGAAGUCGGCAAACUCGAUCCGUAACUUCGGGAAAAGGAUUGGCUCUGAGGGCCGAGCUGGGCCGGGCCUUGCCUGCAAAGCAGUACCUAUAGUGACCGGAGUUUCAGGAGUGCGAGGGGCUCUAGUAGCUGCUCGCGCGUGUGUGCGUUCGCGCGUGCGCGCGUGUGGGCACGAACGAGUCCACCGCUCCGCUCCAACCACGAACGGCUGUGACGGCAAGGGCUCUGGGCGGGAGCGAUCAAACCGUUGGCCUCCAGCUCGUCUGGUUGGCGGCGGUGCUCCGUCUGACCCAUACGGCUCCAGCGGCUAGCGGCUAACUCAGAACUGUCAUGGACCAAGGGAAUCCGACUGUCUAAUUAAAACAAAGCGUCGUGACGGCCCCUGUUGGGUGUUGACGCGACGUGAUUUC
rnacentral:rRNA from 1 species